AACGAACGCUGGCGGCAGGCUUAACACAUGCAAGUCGAGCGCCCCGCAAGGGGAGCGGCAGACGGGUGAGUAACGCGUGGGAACAUACCCUUUGGUUCGGAAUAACUCAGGGAAACUUGAGCUAAUACCGGAUACGUCCGUAAGGAGAAAGAUUUAUCGCCAAAGGAUUGGCCCGCGUCCGAUUAGCUAGUUGGUGAGGUAACGGCUCACCAAGGCUACGAUCGGUAGCUGGUCUGAGAGGAUGAUCAGCCACAUUGGGACUGAGACACGGCCCAAACUCCUACGGGAGGCAGCAGUGGGGAAUAUUGGACAAUGGGCGCAAGCCUGAUCCAGCCAUGCCGCGUGAGUGAUGAAGGCCUAGGGUUGUAAAGCUCUUUUGUCCGGGAAGAUAAUGACUGUACCGGAAGAAUAAGCCCCGG
rnacentral:rRNA from 1 species